rnacentral:rRNA from 1 species
CGCCUGGGGAGUGCGGCCGCAAGGUUAAAACUCAAAUGAAUUGACGGGGGCCCGCACAAGCGGUGGAGCAUGUGGUUUAAUUCGACGCAACGCGAAGAACCUUACCUGGCCUUGACAUCCAGAGAACUUUCCAGAGAUGGAUUGGUGCCUUCGGGAACUCUGAGACAGGUGCUGCAUGGCCGUCGUCAGCUCGUGUCGUGAGAUGUUGGGUUAAGUCCCGUAACGAGCGCAACCCCUAUCCCUGGUUGCUAGCAGGUAAUGCUGAGAACUCCAGGGAGACUGCCGGUGACAAACCGGAGGAAGGUGGGGAUGACGUCAGGUCAUCAUGGCCCUUACGGCCAGGGCUACACACGUGCUACAAUGGCGCGUACAGAGGGCUGCCAACUCGCGAGAGUGAGCCAAUCCCUUAAAACGCGUCGUAGUCCGGAUCGGAGUCUGCAACUCGACUCCGUGAAGUCGGAAUCGCUAGUAAUCGCGAAUCAGAAUGUCGCGGUGAAUACGUUCCCGGGCCUUGUACACACCGCCCGUCACACCAUGGGAGUGGAUUGCACCAGAAGUAGUUAGUCUAACCUUCGGGAGGACGAUUACCACGGUGUGGUUCAUGACUGGGGUGAAGUCGUAACAAGGUAACCGUA